ensembl:lncRNA
GCUCUGUUUUGUUUUGUUGGGAGAGAAGGGGAAAAAGCUGGAAAUGCCAAGAGAUCAAAGUGAGAAUACAGAAUAAGAAUUAAGAUUUAGAAGGUUACUUAAAUAAGAACAGAAAGAAACUAGGAUUUGUAUCAGUGGUGACGUGUAUGAAAUUACUUUUAAUUUUGCAAAAUCACAGGUUUGCUCUCUCAGCCUGUGUAAGUGAACCUAGUAGUUAGCAUUCAUAAAGAAGAAAGCCCCAAUGUUACGGGUGACCAGGGAAUGUCCAGAUUUCUGAGAGGGCAACUGACCAACUUACUGCUUCUGUAAUAUACAAAGUGAUUGAAUUUGCUUGUCAAGUUCUUCAAAUUCUAUUAGUAUAGUGAUGCCUUGCUAUUUAUGCCAAGAGACAGCUUUUUAAACAAUGAUUUCUGCUGUUUUUUUCUUACAGUUGGGAAAUUCAGCUCCUAACCAACUCAUCACCAGAAAUGCAGUGGCAGACAGCUGUUAGGUCCAAACAUUGUCAUCAUCAUAAUACUGAUCACUGAGUGAACCCCUGCUAUGUGCCAGGCCCUGUCCAGGCAUCUUCACUAGCAUUAUAGCCUUUGGCACUCACUACAAGCUAAUAAAAUGCAAUUUCUUGCCUUCAUUUUCUAGUGGAGGAGGGAAAAUGGGAUUUCCCCAAAGAUAUACUGCUCUAAGUGGUAGAAUCAAGAUUUAUUAUAAACUGAGGUUGAUCUGAUUCUGCAUCACUGGAGAUACUUUUGGUUGUAAUUAGCAGAAAACUUAACACCAAGCACUAGGACAUAUAUUGUGUCACAUAAAAGGAAGCCCAGAGGUAGGGUGGGCCUCAGGGCUGGCUGCUCCAGAGACCAGCAGUAUCAUCAAGGACCCAGGUUCUCAUUUUGGUUUUGCUCUGCCAUACUCAGGCCAGUUUCCCCUUGUUGUAGAGUGGCUGCUAGCAGGACUGUGGACCAUGUGCUUGUUCACUGAAUGGUCAAGAGAGACAGGCUUCCAUUGCUCAGUGUUAGAAACAAAGAACAGGCUGGGUAUGGUGGCUCACGCCUGUAAUCCCAGCACUUUGGGAGGCCGAGGCAGGUGGGUCACCUGAGGUCAGGAGUUCGAGACAAGCCUGGCCAAUAUGGUUAAAGCUCGUCUCUACUAAAAAUACAAAAAUUAGCCAGUCGUGGUGGCGGGCGCCUGUAAUCCCAGCUACUUGGGAGGCUGAGGCAGGAGAAUCGCUUGAUGCUGGGAGGCAGAGGUUGCAGUAAGCCCAGAUCGUACCAUUGCACUCCAGCCUGGGCAACAGAGUAAGACUCUAUCUCAAAAAGAAAAGAAAAGAAAAAAACAAAGAAUAGCCAGGUAUGGUGGCUCAUGCUUGUAAUCCUAGCACUUUGGGAUGCUGAGGUGGGCAGAUCAUUUGAGGUCAGGAGUUUGAGACCAGCCUGGCCAACAUGGUGAAACCCCGUCUCUACUUAAAAAAAAAAAAAAAAAAAAAUUAGCCAGAUGCGUGCCUGUAAUCCCAGCUACUCAGGAGGCUGAGAGAGGAGAAUUGCUUGAACCCAGGAAGUGGAAGUUGCAGUGAGCCAAAAUUGUACCACUACACUCCAGCCUGGGGGACAGAGUGAAACCCUGUCUCAAAAAAUAAAAAUAAAUAAAAAUAAAAA